rnacentral:rRNA from 1 species
CCUACGGGAGGCAGCAGUGGGGAAUAUUGCACAAUGGGGGAAACCCUGAUGCAGCGACGCCGCGUGAGUGAUGACGUAUCUCGGUAUGUAAAGCUCUAUCAGUAGGGAAGAUAAUGACGGUACCUGACUAAGAAGCUCCGGCUAAAUACGUGCCAGCAGCCGCGGUAAUAUGCAUGGAGCAAGCGUUAUCCGGAUUUACUGGGUGUUAAGGGAGCGCAGACGGGAGGGAAAGUCCGAUGUGAAAGUUCGGGGCUCAACCCCGGGACUGCAUUGGAAACUGUCCGGCUAGAGUGCAGGAGAGGUAAGUGGAAUUCCUAGGGUAGCGGUGGAAUGCGUAGAUAUUAGGAGGAAAACCAGUGGCGGAGGGGGCUUACUGGACUGUAACUGACGUUGGGGGUCGAAAGCGUGGGGAGCAAACAGGAUUAGAUACCCCUGGUAGUC